rnacentral:lncRNA from 1 species
CACAUACUCUCUUAUAAUUUGAAUAAUAUAUCAUGAUGCUAUAAAUCUUUUUAAUUUAACUAUUAUAUUUUUUUGAACUAAUUUUCCCUGGCAAAAAAAUUAUAAAUUAAAAUAACAUUUAUAAUUUAUAAAUAAUUGACUAUAAAAAUCUACCCAAUGUCCAUUAGCCGACUCUACCUUUCUCUCCAUAAUAUAACUUGGAAAUAGGGUCCUACAAG